UUAUUAUUAUUUAAGUGAACCAGGCCUGUUUACUUUUAUAGUCUCUACGCAGCAAGGCUCCAUUAUACAAAAGUUGUGGGUUUUUUCCCCUGCCUUCAGGUCACUUGUUAAUGAGCUAAGCACUGGGAGAGGAUGGAAUUGAUUACAAUGGGAUACGGGCAGAGACAUUGCCUUUAAAUUUCCAUAGAAUUAGAAGAACGAACAAGAGAAAGAAGUCAUGUUUGUCAGCAGUCCAUGGAGAUGCUUUUCUGUGGAGGUUGAUGAGAGCGCCUUACAAUCGGUUGGAUAAAAUUUGGGUGCCAGUUAGAGGAGUUCUGGGACCCACCUCAACCCCACCUUGUGUAGUCUCUGACCUCCUUAACCUCUGCAGGGCUUCUUUUAUGAGAGUUCCCAGCCAGAUGGUCGAGUCAUCAAACCUUUAUGAGCACAAACUCCUUUUACCACUUCACAGCUUCUUCCAGCCUAAAAGCAGGGAGGGUAGACGUGUGAGGAAAAGAAGCUAAAAGGUGUUAAGGAUAAAAACAAGACAUAGGGGUACCUUCUUUCUGGGUUGGUAACUUAGUGUGAUGUCUGUGGUUUUGGCACUCCCUGCCUGUGUUGAUGUUAUUAUGAAUGUGUUUACAUCUUCCAGUACAAAACACUUAAAUGGAAAAGCACAGAAUUAUUUCCUACCAUACACGUUCAUUUUAUUACACUGCUAAAUGAGCAUUUAGAUUUUUUUUUUUUUCAAUUUCUUCAGUUUCUGAUUGUUUAGGACAUUUUUAAUCCAUUUGGUUUUGGUGGGUUUAUACUGCUAACAAUCACUGCUCUGGUUUCAGAGGAGUGAUCUGUAGUGGCAGAAAAUGUUACCUACCUUCAUUGGCAAUAGGUGACUUAAAUUACAUGAGGCCUAAGCCCAGCAAAGUGACCUUGUUAACUUUAUGAGAACUAUACUCUGGUUUCCACCUGCAUGCAAGGGAAAAAACCUCACUUAUGAGGAAGUCAAUUUCCAAGCACUUCUCCAAGAGGAAAGUUAACUCAGUCACCGAUUCCUGGAUUUAAGGGUUACACUUUUCCAAUUAGAGAACACACACAGAACAGCAAAAAGUGUAAAACUGCAACAUUGCCAAGACAUGCUAUAACCAUCCUUUGAUGCACAGAGUUAAUUUUAGAACCUUUGAAAUCAAUUCUUAUCAGUAGCAGGUAAAGUCAAAAAUAGAAGACCCAUGAAUCUGGGUGAGGUCAGAAUCCUUUACAGGUUCAGGUUGAUUGGUUUGCAAUAAAACCACUGAGAUCUGCCAGUUUUUAAUGAGCUUUUCUCUGAAGAGGUGAACUUGUAUUUUCACUGGGGGUUACUCUUGAGGGUAUGUUUCACGUGCCUGUCCUAAACAUUCCCUCUAGACCUUGCUGCUUUCCCACAUUAAAAAUCAUCAGAUGAUGCAGCCAUAAUAAAUAAUUCUAGCAAAGGAUCUACCCUCUAGUUUUGAAAAUGGAUCUUGACUCAGAGGCCAGUGAAUUUCUUUUGAGGAGAAGUAUGCCUUCCAAUAUUUUAGUUACUGGUACUGGUCAUGGUAGCUUGUGAAGGUCAGGCAAGAAGUUUGGGUCUGGUCAGCUCCACCUGGCCAUGAGGCAUUGCAGCAGCACACUGGGGGACAAACUGUGGACUCUGACAGCCAGGCAGACAUACAGAUGGGUCCAGCUUAUGCUUACUUUGGGUAAUUCUUGCUUGAAUUCAUGCAAACAGCAGAUGACCAAUAAUGUCUCUAAAUCAAAGGUGAAUAAAAGUUUGCAUCUAGGGACCAUGGUCUUGUGCCAUAGCCAAAAGGCAGUGUAGGCAAUAGUCUGUGAAAUAUUAGAGAUAGAUAACUUGGAGCUGUCAAAAAUUGUUCUUUUUUGUGCCACCAGCAUCAGAGCCUUGUAGCAUCAGAGGACCAGAACAAAGCUCACUGCAACCUUUCCUGCUCUGCUCAC